rnacentral:sRNA from 1 species
AGCAGCCGCGGUAAUUCCAGCUCCAAUAGCGUAUAUUAAAGUUGUUGCAGUUAAAAAGCUCGUAGUUGAAUUUCGGGGUUAGUAGGUUGGUCAUGCCUCUGGUAUGUACUGGUCUCACUGAUUCCUCCUUCCUGAUGAACCUUAAUGCCAUUUAUUUGGUGUUUUGGGGAAUUUGGACUGUUACUUUGAAAAAUUAGAGUGUUUAAAGCAAGCUAACGCUUGAAUACAUUAGCAUGGAAUAAUGAAAUAGGACGUUCGAUCCUAUUUUGUUGGUUUCUAGGAUUGACGUAAUGAUUAAUAGGGAUAGUUGGGGGCAUUAGUAUUCAAUUGUCAGAGGUGAAAUUCUUGGAUUUAUUGAAGACUAACUACUGCGAAAGCAUUUGCCAAGGAUGUUUUCAUUAAUCAAGAACGAAAGUUAGGGGAUCGAAGACGAUCAGAUACCGUCGUAGUCUUAACCAUAAACUAUGCCGACUAGGGAUCGGAUGAUGUUAAUUUUUAAUGACUCAUUCGGCGCCUUACG